AUAUAAACUCUCAGCUCCUUCUCCAGCGCCACGUCUGCCUGCAUGCCACCAUGUCCCAUCCUGAAGAUAAUGGACUAACCCUCUGAAACUGUAAGUCAGUCCCUGUGAGAGAGUUGCUAUGAUCACGGUUCUCUUCACAGCAACAGAGACCCUAAGACAGAAGGGGAGUGAGGAAACAGAACAGGACAGGAGAAGGAAGUUAGAGAAGAAAGGAAGAGGAGCUAUUGUUUCAGCUUACUAUUCCGAGACCGUGGACUGCCAGCCAUUCACAAGCUGUCUUUUUCACUGGUGAGCCUUUGGUGGCUAGGAGCAGACUUGAACCCUCCAAGGAGAACUGCUAGACAUCUAUCCACCAUCUGAGGAUGAGACCUGAGAAUAACAUGGCCAGUUACACACUGUGGACUUGAGCCUACUCAGGGAUGCUUCCCAGGAGGUAGAAGACUAUGGACCUGUGAGAGCUACACUCAACCUUGUUGGACACAGUGAUUCAGUUACUUAUCAAACACACAGUCACUGUUGGCCUCCAGAGUCCUGUCCUGCGUUAGGCAUGGUGUAUGUACCAAUGAACCAAAAGUCAAGGCCCCCUGCUCACAACAUGGCCUGUGUUAUGGUAAGUAUGUUGCACACAUGCUAAAGGUUCAGGGAGAGGGGAAGGUGUGCGUGUGUGCACAUGAAUGUGUGUGUAUUCAAUCAGUCCUCAUUACUGGGAAAUCCCAUGUUAGUCUCUUCACAAAAAUGAACUCAUGAUCUCAGGGCUCUCUUCUUUAACAUUUGAAACACGGAGUGGCUCAGUUGUGAAUCACCCUACAUGCCCGAGUCUAUUUUCUUUAUUUACUUUUUAUGUCUUAACUGAUUUAUCUCUCCAGUCUACCUAGUACCACAGUUUUAUAUUUUUUAUGAUGAUUCUCCUGCUCAUAGUGCCAAGUGCUAUCUCAUGUGUCAAAGUACAGGAUGACUGAGAUGUGCCUUCUGGAGUAAACAUGAAUUCCAAAGAAGGCUGUCAUAGUUCCAUGCUAGUGAGUUAAUAACAGGUAUUAAAGGUCUUUAAAUAAAAAAAUACACAUAAAAUAGGGCUGCGUGUUGACUGUAAUAAAAGAAAGCAAGGCCAAAGGAUCACAGAGGCCAACCUGGGCUUCCCUUGGGGCAAUGACUGAAUAUUGUCAAUCCGGUCUCCGUGGUGACUUACACCUACUGUGACCAGCAAGCAUUGACUCUGUGUGCUUGAGUGUGAGAAGCACAAACGGCCCUGGACAGAGCUACCAUGGACACACAUCCCUGUGUCUGCUGAGCAGGCUCUCCAGUGAGUCCCACACACAGGGAAGAGGAGGAGGUUAGCAAUGUUGGAAGACUUUUCUGGCUGGUUGGAGGACGCAGUCUGCAGUGACCUGACAGCUUUCUCUAAGCACAGCAAUAUGGAAACUCCCUCCUUCUCCAGCAAGGCUUCUUGCUCUCUAUCUUCCCUUAUCUGGAGAAUGCCUCUGGGUCUGGAAAACUGACUUUAAAAACUGACUCUAAACCUGAUGCCUGACUCAUCUUUAGCUUGACCCUUGGCACAGAUCACUGCUGAGAAGACUUGGAAUUGAAUUCUGCUGUAGGAUCCCACUGCUGCAUACUAAGCCUGUGACAGGAGUAUGCCACUUAGUGAAAAUUCGAGCUUAUCCCCAGGUCCCCCAUCCUGUAUAUUCCUUAUACUCUGGAGUUAAACUGAGCUGAUUCACUGGAAUCUGUAUCCGUUAGUGCUUAUGGGCUGGGUACGGAGCUUUGUGGCCCCUUCUUCCUCUUUCCCCUCUGAGACUGAUGGUUGACAGGCCUAGAGGGGAAAGAGGACCCCCACAGCAAAGCUUUUUCCCCUCACAGCAAGCACCCACAUUGCUGAAGGAAGGGGGAGCAACUGUCCAUCUCUAAGGUGAAUGAGAAAGUCAGUCACAUCACGGGAGGUUUUAGUACUGAACUUUCAGAGAUGGUAAAGAGUUUAGAAAUAAUUUCUUUAAUUUAGCCCACUAUUUCCCUACCCUAACCAGAACCACCUUGCCUUGGGGACUGCAAAAGUAUUUCUUAUCGUAUUCAGAAAUAGAGUGAAGGAUGGGGACAUGUGAAUGUCUUCCUUCCCACAGAGCCUAGGUGAAAGAGGGAUUAGGGACGUCAGCUGAGAGAGUUCCUAAAGCUCUCCAAAGAGAAGUGAAUCCAAGAUGCACAGUGUCCAAGGUUAAUGACCCUAUAGCCAGCUAUGCAAAAGCACUCAAAGCUGGAGCGAGGCAUGGUGGCACAUGCCUUUAAUCCCUCCACUCCAGAGACAGAGGCAGGCUAUCUCUGUGAGUUCGAGGUCAGCCUGGUCUACAAAGUGAGUUCCAGGACAGCCAGGGCUAGAAAGAAAAAUCCUGUCUCAAAAAACAAAAUAAAACAAAACCCACACAGAGCUGGACCUCUAAGUACCGCUUGAGGAAUCUUUCUUGAUCAGGACUUGUGAAAAAUGUUGCUACCUACGUAAAGGACUCUACUUUCCCACCAGUCAGAAACCAGGAAGACGACUCACAGGCUGGAGGGAAAGUAGCGUGUAAACACCUAACACGGAACCACUCAGAACCACUCAAUGAUGCUUUUGUUCUCUAUCGGGAAAAUGAUCUUCUUAUUGAGGACGUAUAAUAAAAAGAAGCUUAGAGAGAUGUGAAACCAGAGAGGAAGCCCUGCAGCUCUAACCCUCUGAUAAAGGCCGAGAUAACGAGAGCAGUCUGACAGAGCUCGGGGUGUGGGGGCUGGGCGCCAGCGCUGUGGAAGAAACAGGACGCCACCAGAGAAGUGGCACAUCUCCAACUGGUGUGAUGUCUGAAAAACAGACAGGUAGAAUCUGAGGAGGCUAAACAAGUUGGCGUUUUCUCCUGGCGAAAUAUUGGAACCUACCAUUAAGCAAUUGGAGCAUAAGCAUUGAGAGCAGGUGGUGCCAGGCUAAACACAGUGUGUGUUGUGUGUGUGUGUGUGUGUGUGUGUGUGUGUGCUCCUAGAGGGAUGGCUGAGAAAGAACGUGUGUGUGGAGGGGGAAGCACGAACUGGAUAGUUCAUGUUGUAGCAAUGUGUUCGGCAGUGCCUGACUUUGAGCUCAGACCAACUGCCAGCAUUGGGCCGCCACAGAAAAAUCAGUGUUGUGGUAAUUCUGAGCAAGAGGCUGACAACUUACAAAAUUUCUGCGGCUGUGCUUGACGGUGGGCAUACAUAAAGAUGCUGCUCUCCCGAGGGACUUCGAGCGAUGAGACCCGGGAUCCCGGAGUCUGCUCAGGGCAGGCGCAUGUCCGUCCUUUACAGCACCAGCACUCACUGCCAAGCAGAGGAGGACCGGGUGGGAGACAGCUUCGUGAGAACACGCUUGUCGCGCAAGCAUGAGAGCCUCCGAUGGGGUCCCGGAGUCCACAUAAAAGGCUAAGCAUGACUGUGUAAUCCAUCCCCCAGAACUCGGAGGAAGAGCGGGGAGGCUGAGACAGCCAGAACUCCAGCCCUGCGGGGAGCUCCAGCCCCACUGACAAUGAGCCUCUCUCAAAAACUAAGAACGCAGCACUAGGGAGAUGGCUCAGAAGUUAAGGCCUAUCAGAAGACCAGAGUUGGGAUCCCAGCACCCACGUUUAGGAGCUUACAAAGUCACCUGUAACCCCAGCUCCAAGAUAUCAAUCAUCCUUUCUCUGACCUCAAGAUAGUCCUGUGCACACACAUGCACAUACGCAUCUGUACCUGCACAUGUACACAUACAUAAAGUAUUUUAAAGCAUUUGAAAAUAUAAGGUCGAGCACAAUAGAAGAUGAUACUUGAUUGCCAGCCUCCACAUGCAUACACACAUGUACAUAUACACCUGUCAUACACGGGCACAUACAUACAUCACAGAUACAUAUACAAAGGAAAACAGCUUAAGCGUUCAGUGGUGAAUGGGUUAAAAAUGUGGCAAGUCACAUUUUGAGAUGAAAUAUACAUUUUUACCAUUUGAAACGCCUCCUAAUGAAAGAACAGCGAAGAGAAAACGUGCCGUAGCCACAUAAUGGGAAAUGCUUUUGCAAUAAAGAAUGAAAGGAUGUGCUCUAGAUACUGACGAGGUUUCAGAAUGGUUUUCCCCGAGAGAAGACAGUCAUGGAAGAUGGUGCGGGGUGUCAUUCUCACUCCUUGUAGGAAGUGCUCGAAACAGAGAGAUUAAGGGAGAACAGAGGACCUGAGGUGGCCUAGGAAGGUUGAGGGGAGCGACAGGCAUCUCCUAGUGGCUGCACGCCUUCUGUGGGGGAACAUGUAACCCCAACCACACUGCACUUUAAAUGUGUGAGUUAUACAGUGUGUGGACUUUAUCUCAACACACUUGUUUAGAGGGGAGCUGUGCCAGUGGGAACACUAAACAGUACAGUCUGCUCUAUCUGGUCCUGUGGAGGAGCUUCCGCUGACGUACGUGUUUCCUGCCCAGCCUGCCACAUUGCAUUCCUUGGAGAACAGAACCAAGUGGUCACCUUUGUACUUCCAGUCACCAGCACAGUUCCUGGCCCGGGAGAUCGUUCCUAAGUGCUGUAGAGAAGCAAACCCUGAGCAAGGGAUUUUUGUAAACAUGUGAUAUUGGAUGCUUCUGCAAAGGUAACGGCUCACACAAAAGACUCACCCUCUGGGCCAGGGAGAUGGCUCAAUAAGUAAAAGAACUUGCUGACAACCUGUGUUUGAUUCCCCAAACCUACACGGUAAAGGACUCACACAAAUUGUUCUGUAUCUUCCACAUAACACCAUGGCACAUACAUGAGCAUGUGCAAGCACACACAGAAAUAAAUGAAUAAAUAUAA